UGGGGAAUUUUGGACAAUGGGCGCAAGCCUGAUCCAGCCAUACCGCGUGAGUGAAGAAGGCCUUCGGGUUGUAAAGCUCUUUCAGACGGAAAGAAACGGUUACGGCUAAUACCCGUGACUAAUGACGGUACCGUAAGAAGAAGCACCGGCUAACUACGUGCCAGCAGCCGCGGUAAUACGUAGGGUGCGAGCGUUAAUCGGAAUUACUGGGCGUAAAGCGCACGUAGGCGGUUUUUUAAGUCAGAUGUGAAAGCCCCGGGCUCAACCUGGGAAUUGCAUUUGAAACUGGAAAACUAGAGUGUGUGAGAGGGGGGUAGAAUUCCAAGUGUAGCGGUGAAAUGCGUAGAGAUUUGGAGGAAUACCAGUGGCGAAGGCGGCCCCCUGGCACAACACUGACGCUCAGGUGCGAAAGCGUGGGGAGCAAACAGGAUUAGAUACCCCGGUAGUCCCGUGAGCGGGCUGGCAAGGCGCAU
rnacentral:rRNA from 1 species